rnacentral:rRNA from 1 species
AGUGAACGCUGGCGGUAGGCCUAACACAUGCAAGUCGAACGGAAGCACAGUAAGAGUUUGCUCUUACGGGUGGCGAGUGGCGGGCGGGUGAGGAAUACAUCGGAAUCUACUUUUUCGUGGGGGAUAACGUAGGGAAACUUACGCUAAUACCGCAUACGACCUACGGGUGAAAGCAGGGGAUCUUCGGACCUUGCGCGAUUGAAUGAGCCGAUGUCGGAUUAGCUAGUUGGGGAGGUAAAGGCCCACCAAGGCAACGAUCCGUAGCUGGUCUGAGAGGAUGAUCAGCCACACUGGAACUGAGACACGGUCCAGACUCCUACGGGAGGCAGCAGUAGGGAAUAUUGCACAAUGGGCGCAAGCCUGACCCAGCCAUACCGCGUGGGUGAAGAAGGCCUUCGGAUUGUAAAGCCCUGUUGUUAGGAAAGAAAAGCAGCAGGUUAAUACCCCGCUGUUCUGACGGCACCCAAAGAAUAAGCACCGGCUAACUUCGUG